UACAGAGGGGGCAAGCGUUGUUCGGAAUUACUGGGCGUAAAGGGCGCGUAGGCGGCCCGCUAAGUCGAACGUGAAAUCCCCGAGCUCAACUCGGGAACUGCGUCCGAUACUGGCGGGCUUGAAUCCGGGAGAGGGAUGCGGAAUUCCAGGUGUAGCGGUGAAAUGCGUAGAUAUCUGGAGGAACACCGGUGGCGAAGGCGGCAUCCUGGACCGGCAUUGACGCUGAGACGCGAAAGCGUGGGGAGCGAACAGG
rnacentral:rRNA from 1 species